rnacentral:rRNA from 1 species
UACGUAGGGUGCAAGCGUUAAUCGGAAUUACUGGGCGUAAAGCGUGCGCAGGCGGUUUUGUAAGUCUGUCGUGAAAUCCCCGGGCUCAACCUGGGAAUUGCGAUGGAGACUGCAAGGCUAGAAUCUGGCAGAGGGGGUAGAAUUCCACGUGUAGCAGUGAAAUGCGUAGAGAUGUGGAGGAACACCGAUGGCGAAGGCAGCCCCCUGGGUCAAGAUUGACGCUCAUGCACGAAAGGCGUGGGGAGCAAACGAGG